AGUGAACGCUGGCGGUAGGCCUAACACAUGCAAGUCGAACGUCAGCACAGUAAGAGCUUGCUCUUACGGGUGGCGAGUGGCGGACGGGUGAGGAAUACAUCGGAAUCUACUUUUUCGUGGGGGAUAACGUAGGGAAACUUACGCUAAUACCGCAUACGACCUACGGGUGAAAGCAGGGGAUCUUCGGACCUUUCGCGAUUGAAUGAGCCGAUGUCGGAUUAGCUAGUUGGCGGGGUAAAGGCCCACCAAGGCGACGAUCCGUAGCUGGUCUGAGAGGAUGAUCAGCCACACUGGAACUGAGACACGGUCCAGACUCCUACGGGAGGCAGCAGUGGGGAAUAUUGGACAAUGGGCGCAAGCCUGAUCCAGCCAUACCGCGUGGGUGAAGAAGGCCUUCGGGUUGUAAAGCCCUUUUGUUGGGAAAGAAAAGCAGCAGGUUAAUACCCCGCUGUUCUGACGGUACCCAAAGAAUAAGCACCGGCUAACUUCGUG
rnacentral:rRNA from 1 species